rnacentral:rRNA from 1 species
GACAGAGGGUGCAAACGUUGCUCGGAAUUACUGGGCGUAAAGCGCGUGUAGGCGGGUCGGUGUGUCGGGUGUGAAAUCCCCAGGCUCAACCUGGGAACUGCAUUCGAAACUACCGGCCUAGAGUGGUGGAGAGGGAAGUGGAAUUCCUGGUGUAGAGGUGAAAUUCGUAGAUAUCAGGAGGAACACCAUUGGCGAAGGCGGCUUCCUGGACACCAACUGACGCUGAGACGCGAAAGCGUGGGGAGCAAACAGG